rnacentral:lncRNA from 1 species
ACCAUCUAAUAUUAAGAUCAUCAAAUGAAAGAAAUAGUUCCAUACUGCAUUAAGUGUAUACUUGAAAAAAUGGCACCAAUAAAAUGUCUGAAAUAAGAUGAGAAAUAAAGUCUAGUGGAACAUACUCCACUAACUUACACCUAUAUCUAAUCUAUAAUAUAAUGGCCAAGCUUCCUCGAAAGAAUGAAGGCCUACCAAAUCAGGAUAAAUACUCCACGUCCGUAUAGCUUCAGCGUCGACCUGUAAGCUCUACUAUGAAACUGUGCCUGCACAAAAAAUGUACAAUUGUAUGAGAUUAGUACCUACUUUUACUAAGUAAGGGUAUACGAAAGAACACACUAAGAACAUACAUGAUUAAGAAUAUCUCUUUCCUAUGGAUAUGAAUUAUCAAAAGUUAAGUUAGUUUGCUUGCCAAUUUCUUAUUAGGAAUGUCAUGCCACGAGAGUAACAUGAAUCAUCAUUCUUAUCAUUUUGCAAAUAGCACAUAACAUAUUACACAAAUCAUAUCACAUAGUUCAUAUUAUCCUUUCAUAUGACAUGAGACCUUGGAAUCAUGGACAUGAUAUUAGGACUUCCCGAAAAUGAGGGCUCAACAUAUGGGAACUCAACUAGGGAGCCUUUUUUAUCAAAUACAGAGUCUGCUUCAUACACUCAUAUACUAGUGUAGCCACCAGUCAUACCUAGGAUGUCGUUUAAGACUCUCAUCGUGUUCGUUGUGGAAUGACCAAGAAUACCUAGUGUUAUUACUAUGUCUAACUGACAUCUUGAUUAUCCAAUCUUAAAACCUUUGGUAUCGUUUAUUUUACAAUGUGCAUUCGUUGAGGCUGGCCUCAUUAUUUCUUUGUGAACUUUAUCCUUAGCCAACAUAGAUCAUGUAAGCAUAAUAAAAUCAAAUGUCUGCCCACACAGACAAAAGAUAGAAUCACCGACCAAACUGACCAGAACAUGCUAGAAUAUAUAAGGAGUCGAACCCUGGUAGAUCCCUAUAUUAGCAGUAUAGGUUCAAAUUCUGGGAGAUAUAAAGAGAACCAUUCCCAGCAUGUCAGACGGUCUCAUCUCAUGAGAGUUAUGUGAACCUCCGCCCUUCAUGAAAGAAGGCAUCACCUCUCAUAGCUAGCCUAUCGGUGCUCAGUAUAAAGUUACAUUUCAUUAAACUCAUACGUCAUGGAAGAUGGACUCUAGUAUGAGGAUAUCAUAGCUCAAUAGAUGAUUUCUCAUCUCAUCAUUAGUAUUAAGUAUACAUCAGUCUCAGUACUUUCAUUCGAGUGUACAUAGAGACUGGUCUUUUCAUUAGCAUUACACUCUCAUAGGUGAGUACGUUUUGGUAACAUUUACUUAGGAUUUUUGAGAUUACUCUCAUCUUUGACAUUAUCCUCUUAUCAUAUUGUCACCACAUUCAUUUGCAUUAUUUGUUUUUCAUAAUUACUCAUCUCUUUUACGUUAAUGUUCAUUUAAUCAUGCCCUUGGCCAUUUAGUGUGUUUCACACUCUUAAUUAACCCUGAUAGGGUUUCAUCAUAAUAUUACAUACAUCUUAGUUACUCAUCCCUUUUUACGCGAAUGAUCAUUUCAUCAUCUUUUAGUGUUGACUCAAGCAUUAUGGAGGCUUGCUUCUAUAUUGAUAUUGACUUACUCUAUUGAUGACUGGUCAUUUUUACUUUGCAUUGAUGAAAUGUGAAUUGUUCUUUCAUAUCAUUAUUAAUUUACAUUGACGAAUGUGAAUUUUCCUUAUAUAUCAUCCUUAGGCAUAAUGAGACUAGUUUCACACAUUCUACCACCUUCAUUUGCGAAUAUUCUUUUAAGAAAUUAGCUUUGGUGUAAGUAAGACUUGUUUCACUUCCUUUAACAUCCCAUUCUGGUAACUUAAUUAAUUUAGACCCCUUUAAUUUUGAUAUAACUCACGUUACUUACAUUCUUUUUUAUAGUAUCUUCUUAUCACUGUCUAUGGACGAUGAGCACUUCCUUCAAGCAGUUUAAUGUGUUCAUAGUUCAUUCUUGUGGAACAUGUUGGGAGUUGUCCCAAUAAAUAUCAUGCCCUUGGUUAUGGAUUCAUUUAUAUUACUUUAUAAGUGCUAAAUAUAAAUUUGAUACUCUUACUAAACAAGAAUUGGCAUAUGAUUAGUAUUGGAUCAACAUUUGGGAUGUUAGACUAGCAAAUUCAUUGUUUUUGGUAUAAACCAAUAUUUAUGUAUGUUCAUAUUUAAAUUUCCAUAUGUAUGAACCAUAUUCCAAUAUUUUAAUCAUUUACACAAGUUCCUUGCAUUUAAUAUAUUUUAUUUUAGACCAAAUAGAGUUAUCAUUCAAGAUAUUAUUUUAUAGAUGUCUUUGAGCCAAUUCUUUGAUUAUGGAUUUUAGUGUAAUGUUUUAUGAAAAUGCUGGACAACAUUAUAUUUACAUUUGAUUGCUUUAACAUCUUCAUAUAAUAACAAAAACAGCAAGUCAACAAUAAGCCAAAGAAACAUAUUCACUUAACACAUCACAGACAUAACUUAGCAUAUUAUCGAUCCUUAAUUAUCAUGAUAAGAUUAACUUUACACAACACAAGUUCAUAAGCUUAUUCAAUACUCAUCAUUCAAGAACAAUACAUGUUAAGAACAUACAGAACCACAUAUCAAAAACAUGAUCUCUAACCUAUUCAACAUUGAAAUCGAAAAGAAUACUAGGAAAGGGAAGUUCGACAAGAACGAGGGGAACAACCCUAGUUUUCAACAUCUUGUGAAUCAUUCGAAGGAAAAUAUUCUUGGAUAAUGAAUUAUAGGAUAGAUAAACAUACCGUAUGUAGAAUGUAAUCUAGGAAGACUACCUUGAACAACACUUUGACGAAACCUUGAAAUCGCCCUAAAGAAAUAAAUAAAUUUUCUUCCUUUUUCUUGCGUUCGUUGCUUACUAUUUUUGCAUCCUUUUUUUCUAUGAGUUUGAACGUGAUUUUUAGGUUUAAGAACUGCUCUUGAAUCAUUGAACUUAGGGUUUAAUAAGAUAAUUAAAUAAAUUAAUUAACUAAUUACAGAUUAGCCCCUCCUAGAUAGACUAGAACUAGGAAAACACAAUACUUGGUCAAAUUUGAAAUUUUUCAUAAGAAUUUCGUUUUGAACCUUUUAAUUAAUUAAUUAAAUGUCUAAUUUAAAUAAUUUAGGUACCUAGGGUAACUAUUAAAGCUCCCAUAAAUCAUUGGAACAAAAAUUAACUCUGUUAGACCAUCCUAGGUUAAGUACUAGGAUGUUUCUUGAGUCGUACUAGGUUAGUGUAAGAAUUUUGGUUUGAAUCAUUUAAUUGAAUUAAUUAAAUGUCUAAUUUAUUUAAUUAAUUGACCUAGGUUAAUUAUUAAAUUACACUUAAGUCGUUAUAACCAUACCUAAUCCUUUAUAUAAUCCUAGGUUAGGUACUAGAUUUUUUAAUUUUAUUUUAACCGAAAUCUUGAUAUCGCUUUGUGAUUUCGGUUUUGCCCCUUUAACUUAAUUAAUUAAGUUGAUAAAUUAAUCUUUUAAGUAUAUUAGGGUAAUUAAUAAAGUAGCAUUAAGUAUUUUGGAUCUUAACUAACUCUUUGGACCAUCCUAGGUUAGGUACUAGGUUGUCCUUUUCUUGUCUUAUCCGAAAUCUGAAAAUUUCCUUUUUAUUUUCAGUUUUAGCCCUUUUUAAUUAAUUAAUUAAUUUUCAAAAUUAAGUAAUUAGGUAACCUAGGGGUAUUACUAAAGUAUCCCUAAUUUGUUAGGACCAUAACUAAACUAGGUUAGUGUCAACCCGGUUUUGGUCCUAGGUUAUCGGGUUCCGUAAUGGGUCCAAUUCGGUUAGUCCUAGGUUAAUUAGUUAUUUAGGCCAGUAGGUUAGAGUCUAUAAUUUGUAGGGAGGUUAGGCCCCACAUGGAUUGGUCCCCUGUGCACGUUUUCCCCUUACCUACCCUAACCGAGUUCUAUUAGGGUCAUCCCCUUCUUUGGAAGCUUCUUCACAUGUCUUGCACAUGUGCUUGCACAUGGUUUGGUUGAAAUUUCCUAACAAACUAUUAUUUAUGGUUCAUUUGGGAAUGUUUAAUUAUUGUUCUUAGGACCCUCAGUAUGUCCUUGGGCACUGCUUCAUCUAUAUGAUUAUUUUACUUGAUCAUGUGCUAUGAUAUCUAGGCUUUACACUUGGAUGCCUCAUACCUUUUAUGUGAGAAAUGAAAAAUGAUGAUUUUUAGCUUAGGAUCUUUAUUGUAGGUAUAUCUAUUAAACAAGCUCAUUAACAUUUAGAAAAAUUGGCUAACACUCUUUAAGCAUAUAUUUUCUAAUAUGCCAAAUAUUGUGCUUAUUUGGGCAUUGUAUAGAAAUUGGCUAAUACCCCUUAGCCAAUUUACUAUUACAAAUAUUUCUCAAUAUUGGACAUUGGAAUGCCUAUGUAUCCCCAAUAUGCAUUCUUAAAUACAUAUUGUGAUUUUCAUUAUACAUCUAAAUUUCAAGAAUAUUACAAUUGUAGUCUUUCAUACUAGUUCUUGAGAAGUGAUCUAGGUUAUGACGAUUGACUCAUUAUGUUGUCUUAAGCUUUAAGUUAGUACUAAAUUAUAGUGUAGUGAUUCUUCUAGACUUAUUAUCAUGUUGGUUAUUGAAUUAUGUUUAUGUGAUGACCUAGGUGGGGUGAGUUAUGGGUUGAUGGUAAGACAUUUAUGAUGAACUAUAACAUAGAAUUGGUGUAAGGUUUUACAACACCGCAUUCCACACUUAGAUCUUGUGGUCUAUGUCGGUUAAAGCAAGUGUUCCCUAAACUAAAAUGAAAAAACGAAGUAUAAACUAAAUAGGGUGACUGGAGAGGUUUAACUUAGCCUAGGUAGGGGUAUGAGACUCUACUUAUCCCUUGCACUAGUUGGCCUUGAUUGAUGCUUUAGGAAGUUAAUAUUAUGUAUGUAUAUGAUAAUUAUAUUUAAGAUGAUGAUAACAUGUUGAUGCUACAUCAUACAUGAUAUUAUAUGAUGAUGGUUAUCCUCUUGAACUUGUAAUUGGGGUGUAUUAUUAAUGUAUGAUGUUAUGUAUACUUAUUGGUUAUUAUAUGUGACGGUUUACGUUGGUCAUGUUAUCUUGUUGUGGCUACUUGAUUGUGUAAGGUUAUGGGGAUUUGCUUGGUCAUUUCACUUGUUGACUUUUUGAAGAUUCAUGAGUGGUUGUCUUGAUUUUUAUGAUAUGGUUAACUCUUAUUCAUGCUUGUGAUGUUAUUCCUUGAUGAUACGGUUGUGGUAGAUUAUGGGUUCAAAUAUGUUGGUAUAUAUAUUACUCGUGUGAGUUAGUAAGAAUAUUUGGUUGAUUGAUAUGACUUGCUUGAUUAUGAAUGAGACUUUUAAUAUGGUAAAAAAUGGCAUGUUUUGACUAAAUGUCCCUUUUUAGCAUGUUUUUCUCUCAUAUGUGUAUAUGGUCUCAUACUUAGUACAAGUGGUGUACAAAUUGCACUUUCUUCCUUUUUCCUAAAAAUUUUAGGUUCCCAUCAUUCAAUGCUCAUUUGAGAUGACUUCAAGAAUUAUUAGAUAUUCUCUAUCAUUCAGGUGGGUACAUCCUCACUUUUCGAGAGCAAUGUCAAUAUCUUGCCUAUGGAGUUACUUGUUUUUCUAUGACUCUUAUGUUCAUUCUAGUUUCUGUUGAGUAAGACUUGUAUAAGAUUAUAUGUUGUUUCUUUACAUUUGAUGUAGGGCUAUGACCAAUUGCUAUGAUCGUUUAGAUGGUAUGAGAUGAGACAAUUUUUGAGAUUAUUUUCAAUCAUAUAUAUAUGUAUAUUCAAUAAAAGUAGAAGGUUAUGUAACCUUCGUAUAUGAAUGGUCUAUUUAUACUCUAUACGUAUAUAAUAUGUGAAUGUAGAGGUAUAUGUAAACCUCCACGUAGAUGUAAUGAAAAUUUUGAAUUUUUCCACAUUUACAACCUAUGAAUGUAAUGACAUGAGACUAAGAGGAAAGUAUUAGUCCUCAAAGAGGAUGACGACACCUGCUUCUUCUAGUAUUCAUGCUUGAAGAAAGUUCUAAAUUUUUAUUCAUUUUAGUAUGUUUAUUAUGAAAUGAAUGAUAUGAGAGGCUUCAAUGAUACUUCUUGAAGUCUCAUUUUUGGUGUGACGACAAAAGGAUGCUCUAACUUCUAGGGUGUACUUGUGGGUCGUGAAAGGUAUUUAUUUCUAAAUUAUGAUUAUUCGUACUGUUAAAUGAUAUGCUAUAUGAAUUUGGAUAGUGGUCAUGGCUCUUGUUGGGUUACUUGUUUGAGUAAUGUUAUGGAGCUUUGCUUGGUCAUUGCACUAGUUAACAUAAUGUGGGUUCAUAGGUAAUUGCCUUGCUUUUGUUAUGAUGUAUUGAACUCUUUUCCAUGAUUGUGGGAAUUAUAACUUGAUGAUGGAGUUAUCUUGACUAUUUAUUAACUUAUGUGAUAUGCAUGAUGGAAUCACUAGACUUAGUCUUCUUGGUCUUAUGAUGUAUAUGCUCUUGACUUAAUGAAUAUGUCUUAUUGGUUGCUAUGCUCUUCUUGAAUGUGGAUGAGGCUUUUAAAUGUAAAUUUGAUAUAUUAAUGAAAUGUCCCCUUUUAGCAUGAUUUCAUGAUAUGUGUGCAUCUGGUCUCACACAUAGUACAAGUGUUUUACUAAACCCAUUUUGUCCAUUUUUCCCAACCAUUUCAGGUUCCGAUCGUUGAAGGGAUUUUAGGAUGACUUUGAAAAAAGACAUGGAAUUCUAACUCAUCCAUUUUGGGUAGGUCCUCACUUUCCGAGGUCAAUGCCAUUAUAAAGCUUAUGAUAUUGUUCGAGUUAUUAGACUUUUGGUUCUUUCAUUUUCAUUUGAGUACUAAACAUUGUAUAACAUAUAUGUGGCUUUAUUAUGUUGAUGUUUGGGACAUGCCCAAUUGUUAUACUCUUAUUAUAGAUGGUUAUGAGAUGAGAUGUCCGAUUUUAAGACUAUAUUAUAUCUUAUAUAUAUAUGUAAAAUAAAAUUAUAAGACUAAGUAAUCUUCCUAUACAAAGAGUCUAUAUAUACUCAAAUAUGACUAUAUUAUGUGUAUGUGAGAGGUCUAUGUGAACAACCUUAUGAUAGAUAUAAAAAUGUUUUAUGUUUUCUGCAUUUUGACAUAUGAAUGUAAUGAUGAAAGCUAAGAGGAUGAUGCCGGUUACAUAGGGUGUGCUCCCCAGAUGUGAUAGCCUAAACAAUUAUUCAUAAACUCUUGUACUUAAAAACAAAUAUCAAAGCAAGUCAACGACCAAGCCUACAUACUCUUCACAUAAGAAGGUUUGACACGAUUGAAGGUUUCCACUCCUAAUCUCAUAUCAAGGAAUUUAAUAACCCAUCAUCAUGAGGUACUCCUCAAGCAUAACUAUUCCGAUAAGUUUAUCGCCUAAAGGAACUCAUAAUAAUCACGUUGCCUCAUACUACCCAACCACAUGUGGCCAUUACUACAUAAUGAAUACCAAGGGUAAUUCCACAUCUCAUCACAUUCUACCACCAUGUCCUAACAAGGUAGGUAGUUCCGGAUUUAAGCCUAGAAAGGUCAUCACCCUAGGUAGUUCAUGUAUAGCCUUUAAAGAAUUCUCCUUCCUUGUUAGUACUAUAUAAAUCUCGGAUCCUAACCAACAAUAAAACACAUGGUGGAACUCUUAAGAUCCACUACAACCUUUCUAGACAUUUUGGGUAACCAUUAUAUCUAGUUCAAAUAUAAUGGGAAACAUAGAAGAGAUUUAUCCAUAGAGGCAAAUUCUAGGUAUUUUCAACCCAUAUCACUACCUUUGGUGGAACCUUCAAGAUAACCAUACCUGGGUACCAUCUAUGAACUUUUGCCAUUUGACAAUACUUAAAAUCAAACUUCGUAGACCUCUUACAUCUUUAAAGUUGGUCAACAAUAGUUUUCUUCCUCUCCUUAUAAGCUAAGGGAUACAUACAUCUCUCUAAGUCAAUCUUAGGCAAAACAUAAUUGAAACUUAUGGAACAAAAUACUUUCCCCCCUUGUUCUCCAUUCUAAGGAGAGGUUCAUAUAUAGACUAAUCAACUAGUCAUCUGAGUUCUCCCAUUGACUAUCAUACUUCACAAUUACCUCUCAAGGUAAGCAAACUACCAUCCCUUCUUUGAUUAAAGUUGAUACAAUAGACUCUAAUCCACACAAGGACAACAAUGAUGAAUUACUAAUAUAGAAAGGCCACAUCCAUCAUUCACUAUUUACCACAUUUCUCAAUAACAUUUCAAGCCUACACCAUAACAUUGUACUAUCAUUAGACAUAACCAUAAACCAAUCUAUAAUUCCAAAAAGGAUUUCAUUUCACCGUAGAAAAUCUUAACAUACUUAUGACUACAUCACCUCAUAUGUUUUCAUACAUAAUAGGUCACAUAUAGCCAUAUAUGGCAUCACAUAAAAUAUUCUAAAUUCAUGUUCAUAUAUACUAUAAAGUCACAAAACCAUAAUAAGCAUCAAAAAUCACCUUUCUCCCUCAAUCAUUGAGACAUAACCCCUUCCAAGAAAUCACAUCUAAAAGACCACCAGACAAGGAAAAAUAAGAGAUAGAUCAUAUGGAAUUAAGCUGUAUGGCACGACACAAGAGUAGAGAGGAAGGUGAAAUUUUUAUUGUUUUAUAGAUUCUCACUCAUAGAUUUAUUAUGACACAUAGCGAUGAACAAGACUCUAUUAUACAUGGCAUUAUUAUACUUUGAUAAUCCUCUUAGCAUUCAUUCAUCGCAUAGUUAUAGAAAUUUAGUGGAAAAUUUAUAACUUGCCAUAGCAAAUAAAAAUGUUAUAACAUCACUACAACAAAAAUGCUCAUCAGAACCAAUAAAUUCCUAAUUUCUGCUAAUAAUGUAUUUAUAGCGGUAAUUGUCAAUUUAUGUAUAUAUCCCUAAUGUGUUUAGCUUCAUUGGUUUUAAUGACACUUAAAUUAUGUUGGUAAAGACUUUAGCAAUCUUUAUUAAUUCCAAUAUUUAAUGCCGCUAAAAGUUGUUUCUGUUAUAGUGAUUAUUUCAUUAAUAAGAUUAUAAGUACAUAGAUAAGAAACUAAGUCUCUUUUUUUUCCAUCAUAAGACACAACUUAAUAGAAGACAAUAGGGACACGAACCUUAACAAAAUAAAAGAAUUAUCUAAACUAUUACAUUAACUCAAAUAACAUCUUGACAUGAAUGUCAUUAAAUCAUUGAGGAACCCACUUGAACUUCGGAAUAUGAAUCACACCUACUCAUUUUUGUGUAAAAAGAUGAAAAAGAAUGGUAUUAGGAUCCUCAUAGUAACUUCCCUUAGAGUGCACUUGUGUAAUGCAUAAUUAGGGUCCAUAGUCCUACCUACACUAAGUAGUCUUUCAAGGAAUUAUGACGAAAAUUCAUAAUCUUAUUUUAGUUCGCUUCUUAAGUUUAUGGAUGCUUAUAGAUAACCGACAUAGAAUAUGUAAGAAACAUUAAAUACAAUUUUAUGUAACCCAACACCGAAAGAAGGAGUUCUUCUUGCCUAGGUAGAGACUACAUAAUAGAUAUAAAGGUUGAUCCACUAGUUAUAAACUACGGAGGCACAUAGUUAAGGGAUAGUGAUAUUGCUCUUUGAAACCUGACCUAUUAAAUUAGUAGAGAGCCUUCCAUGUCAUGAGUACCACUUGGAUGACCCAACCUUUUUCAUAGCGGAAGGGUCUUUUCUUCAUUAUAAAUAUCAAGUCGGUGCUAAGCUUAAACUCCCUCUUUAAUAUAUUUAUUUAUCAUUAGUUCAUAAAGCACGCAUUAGGAACAUGCUCCCUCAUACAUCAUAUAGCUCAAAUAUUUCUAAGAUGAGAAUCAACUUUCAUCAUAGAACCUACUUUUUAUGAGAAUUUCCUUUCACGUUAUUCUAUCAUAUAGAAAAUAUAGGCUAGUUUAGAGUACAAUUGGGGAAGCCUUACAAAAGACUUACUUUCACUAGAUUAUCAUAACAUUAUUCAUUCAUAAAGUCAUGUGUGUGUGUAAAUACGCAAGAAAGCAUUUUGACAUAAACACAUCUAGACAACAAAUGAUCAUACUUCCUUAUUCAUAUACUUUACAUGCAUAGUUGUCACAUCAGGGUUUACCCCCUAGACAUAACAGGCGUCUUCAUACUUUUUAAGGACUAAGACUAGCCUCUUAGUUUCAUGUUAUCACAUUCAUAAGUUAAAAAAUGAGAAAAAAAGCUUAAAAUAUUUAUUUUCUCUACCUGGAGGUUUACAUAGACCUCUACAUACAUAUAAUAUAAACUCAUGUGGAGUAUACAUAAACCCUUCAUAUAGGAAGGUUACAUAGCCUUCUACUUUUAUUGCACACAUAUAUAAUAAUAUAGAAAUAGUCUCAACGAUUGUAUCAUCUCAUACCAUAUAAACGGAUAUCACAAUAUGGGCAUAGCCCUUACAUCUAUUAAAUAAGACCGUGUAUAAGUCAUACUAAAUUAAAAUAUUCCAAUAACAAGGAAAGAAACCAUAGAGUCAAUAACCUCAUAAAAAAAUCCAAAGCUAGAAGAUGGCAUUGCCCUCAAAAGUUGAGGACCUACCCUCAACGACCGGAACCUAAAAUAUUUGGGACAAAGGAAGAAAAUGGAGUUGGUACUCCAAACUCUUCAAUACUACAUUAUAGUCUCAAAUCUAAAUAGUAAUGCAGUGUUCCUACCGUCCCUAUGUGGGAAAGGACACUUUUCUAUCUAGUUCACUCGGUCCUAAGCUAGAGUCCCUUUUCUAAAUCUCUUUAAACCUUUAAUUAUCAAUUAUAAAUUAAUUUACGUCAUAUGGCCUACCCAUUGAAUAAUCAUCAUCAUCAAUAAAUCAAUAAGAAUUGUAUGAGUAUAAGUCUCUUUUCAUCGCAAUUCAUAUAAGUGAGGUUAACACUUUAGCAUUUCAUAACAUAUUAAGGCUCGUUUAUAGUUUUCACCAUCUUUAUAGCACGUACACCUUAAUCAAUGUCACAACAUCGUAAAAACAUUUCAAUUCAACAUCAUACAACCCUAUAAUCCUAGUAUAAGGCAUACUCCACUAUAAUAUCAUGGCUUAACAACAAUUAAUCAUAAUUGGAAGUAAAGAUAGAGAUUCUACGUCUUACCAAGUGUUUAAAAUAGUCUAUCAUCAAGGUAUUACCAUCAAACCAUAACCCAAUCAAACUUGGGGAGUAACAUCAUCGCAGAAUGAUAAUAUAUAGAAUAACAAGUCCAAUUGCAUCUCUAUAACACAAUUCAUCUUUAGAUCACAACUUGAGACAAGGUACAUAAGCUAAUUUCACAUUAUAAUUUAUAACCUAAAUCACAUCUCAAGAGCUAGUACGAUAGGACUAUAAUUCAUCUUAAUUUAAUCAUAAUAAAGCUAUAGGAUAGUAAGCUAAUAAAAAACAAACUCGAUUGAAUGAUCACCAUACAACAUAGGUCAAGAUCACUACCUAGGGCUAGGGAUAAAGGAUCAGGUUCUUCAACUUAGACCAAACCAUCAACAAUUAUCAUAAACAAGUUGAAUUACAUGUUAAUAUAUUCAAUAUAACGCUAAGAAUUCAUUAACAACUCAAUACAUGACUUCAAGUUCGUAAAUUAAUGAAAUCCAUAGGAAAACUAAACUUUUUGAAAACAUUUUUGAAGGAACCCUUUUAGGAAAGAAUAUCAAAGAUUAAUACAACCCAUACCUUGAUGUUUAUAAAAAAUUUGAUGAUGAAUCCAUCCUUUUUACAGCCCCUAAACCCUCAUUCUUUCUAGCGUUCAAUGGUGAGUUCAUGCAGAGAGAAAAAUAAGAGAGAAGGAAGAGUAUUUAUUUUGAGAGAUCUCUUUAGGUUAAUGAGGGUUAAGGGUAUUUAUAUAGGGGCUUAAUUAACUUAAUUAGUAUCCCUUUAAUCCCUAACUAACCCCUAAACUACUUGAUUAAUUAAAUCAAAUAGUUUAUAAUUUAUCAGUGAAACUCGACCCUCACCGACGAGACCUUGAUUGACGGUCUGCGAGUGAGUCAACGGACAACCCCUCCUCCUUCUUGUACUCCGUAGUCUCAGUAAGAGACAUUGUAGGUUAGGGAUUCUUUACAUUUUUCUAUGUGUGGGAUGACGGUGGCCUCGACGCCCCGUCGAGCCACUUACCCCCGUCAAACCCCUUCCAUCUCGUGGAACAGUAGCUAGGUAAGAAAGACCCUUAACAAAUUAUGCUAAGUGUUGGACUAUGGUGGCCUCGAUGCCUCGUUGAGCCACACAGGACAGUCGUCUAUCCCAUCGAUGCACAGUGCCAGGCACUGCUGCAUCAAAUUGCAGGGGACCUCCUUAGGGUCCCUUGGGUUGUCCUUGUGGAGUCGUACCCAGACGUUUCAUUCAUGAAACAACUCAAACAACCAUUAUAUACCUUUCCACCCAUUUUCAUACAUUUUUUACUCCUACAAUUUAUUAAAAAGUCUAAGGCACACUAACAUCCCUUUAAACCAACUUCCCAGACGUUUUUGGACAUUUUGGUUCUUAAACCCCAUAAAUAACCUAUAAUCAUUAAAAAUGGACUUAAAAAUAGUGUUUAGACUUUAUGACACCUAUUUUAGGAUUUACCAUUAGUCUUUGAUUUUCAAGGCAUUACAAUAGUAACCGAUAAUUAUUCAUAUAUGAUAUAUACUUUCAAUUGACAUCAUGAAUUAAUCCUACUCAUAGUUAAGCAUGAGAUAUGUGUGUGUACAUAUUGAUUUUCAUGAUCACAUACAAGCAACUGCCAAUUUACUGAGGAAACCACACUCGAAAAGGAUCAUAACACAUAUUCAAUAUCUCUUAAGUCAUUAAUAACUUCACAUAAUGAUUAUUAGGGACUACAGAUCAAACACCCACAUUACAUCAUAGUAUGCACGAACAUAUUCAACAAAUUCAAUAGAAGUCUCCUAACAUGCACAAGAUAAAUAUUAAUAUAGGGUUAAAUAGGUAGGAGGUCAUUCUACAACGUUAUUCAUCCUCAUAAAAUAUGUUGACUAUUCAUAACCCUAAUAUGAUCAUCACAUACACGUAACAUCAUCAACACACCUAUUCAUGAUACUAGAAUGGAAAACUACACAAGACCAUCAUACUUAUCAUCAUCAUAACCACUUUCACAUUACAUCUAUAUCCUUCAAGGAUAUGAUCACAACAUAUAAAGAUAGACAAGAAUGUAAACACCAACACCAUAAGUUACCAUACCAUACAAUGUCAAAUCCAAUACUAUAAUUAGAAAUUUAGGUCAACUUACCAAUCUCCAACAUACUAUAACCAUAGACCAAUUUUCAAUAAUGAAUAAUGAAUUUAAAUAAAUAAUAAUAGAAAUCAUAAUUACAACAUAAUCAAAUCAUAAUUUCUUCAACCAAUCAUAAUGAUUACAAGACCCAUGUUAUGGGCUAAAUUGAGAAAUAGAAGGAUCACAGAUUCAUUCAUAAAUUCCUUACAAAAUCACCAUAAAACAUAGAAUAAUAGUCAACUCAUCAUUAGAAUGUAUUUUAAAUUCGUUUGAUAAUGAAACCAUGGGUAGAUUGAAUAAUAGGAUUUUUUUAUAAUAAAAUGUCGUUGAAAACCCUUUGAAAGAAAUCCUUCUAUGAAAGAUGUCACGACCCGGAAGUAUACCCUCGAAAUUAGUGCACCCUUUGGUAGCCACACGGCGUACUUCACCUCUAUGAGUUCUUGUACAAGCCCUCUUAUUUCAUUCGUUACAUAACAUGUAUGAAAAGUAGUGCAAAAUUAAACUUAUUACACAAAAUGAUACUUACUAAAAUCUCUCUAAGAAAAUCUUAAGGAAUAAAUAUAAGUAUAAAAAUCUCCAUUUUAGAAACACAAAUAACUUGGGACAUGGCAUAUACAUAAAAAUAUAAAAAUAUCUAAGUCUAUUACAAUGUCUUUAACAAAAAAAACUAAUAUAUAAUUAUAUCCCCGGAUCAAGUGAGGAUAUACAAUACUUGCUUGAAUUAAAGGCUAGUAUCCCUGUAUCACUUCACGUACUCUCAAAUACCACCUUUAUAUAUAGACUCACUACAUAAAAUAACUCUAUGACCCAACUAGGUAACACAUGAAAAGACCGGCAUGCACAGUCUCCAAGCCGACUUAAGCAAACCAUAAAGCUACUCUAUAUAAGUACCUUUUCAUUAGCAUGCCUUUAUCAUAAGCCACUAUGUUCUUUAAACCAUUUAAGAGAUAUUCAUAAAUUUAAAACAUUCACAUGGUGGUCUUGGAGAAGACUUAGGGAACCUAAAUACAAGAAUCUUCAAAGCCUUCUCAUGGAAUAAUUAAAAGUGUCCCAUUUCACUACCUAAACUUCAUAGAACUUAUCCAAUACUAGUAUGUAUCUCACAUUACUAGAAUAGGAAUUAAUCGACAUAGACCAUACUUACUAGGCAUGGAACGCAGAGUCAACCCUUUUCUGAUACAGGGUGUUGUACUUUCCAAUGGUAGAACUAGGAUACAACCAAUGUAGACACAUGGUUAAGGCAUAUGAAGGGUUUUUUCAUACUCUAGUCUUCAUCUUAAGUAGAGCUACUCUUUAUGAAUAUUCUUUGUUGCUAGCCUUUGUUCUUAUAGAAUAAUUUAAUAAAGGAUUAUAUGAAGAGGUAUUGUAUCUUGUUCAUAAAAAAAUCAUAAUACACCUUACAAAAGAGGGUCCACUAGGGCUGCCUAGAAUGGUUAUUAAGAUAACUCAAUGGCUUUCCUAAGGAUUAUUUCAUGUAGUUCCAGCCAACCUACCAUAAGUACAACAUUAAAACAAUAAAGAUACCAUUACAACUUGCAACUUCAAGGAUAUCAUAACCUUCUUUCUAAAAGGUUCCACAUAAAUGACCUUCUGAACUAUAUUCAAGAUCAUAUAAAAUUCUUACAUAUAAAGUCAUGACAAAGGUUCUUUAGGCUACUAUGUCAAAGAUCAUAUCCAUAUUGUUCAUCCUCUUAUCACAUAUAGAUUAUUAUUAAUGAAACAAAUAGGGAGAACUAAGUAUACAUGAAAGUAAUCCUACAAACUGUUUUAAAAUCAUUAACAUAACUUAUCGUAAUGUUCAUAUAGUAAUCUAGGAAAAUUCACACUCCAAUAUCAAAUAUACACAUACAAGGCAUCACUAUAGCCUAUCAUGAUCACAUAUACUCAAUUAAAUGUACACAUACUUGAAUUCUUAGAUACACAUAAUUCAUAUAAACCUUUAAGAUGAUCACAUAUCAAAUAUAUAACAUGAAAAUACCAUAAUUCAUAACGUAAUCUCAAUGAGGCCAUAUUAUUCACAAGUUUUUCACAUAAGCACUCUUACCAAACAAUAAAAUUUAAAAAAUAUACUAUACAAUAUAGAGAAUUUUAGGUUAACAUACCACCAUUCCAAACUCAACAAUUCCAAUCCAUAGCAAUUUAACCAAUCCAAUACACCAAGGAUCUUAGAAUAGCCAUAUUCACCAAUUCAAUCCAAUAAUUAAAAUAUACAAUGAUCCAAGAUAAUAUAGUAUGAAUUUCAUCAAUUUAGAAUAGCUUACGUAAAAUAAUAACAUUAUUCUUUAAUAAUUCAAUAUCCCAAAGUAAACUACACUAGAAUUGAAUAUUAUAGAGACAUGAUUAUAUCACCCAUCAAAAAAUAAAAAUAAAGAUUUCUUGAUUUGAAUGGGUUCAUAAAUAAUUUGAUCUAAUUUUAUUCCAUUAACAUAAAUUACAUCAUAAAACAUUGUUUCAAAUUGUUUCAUGCAAAAACCCAUGGUCAGAAGUGGAAAUAGAAGAAUUCAUGUUUUUGAUCAUCUUUGAAUUUUUUUUAAUUGACUUCUUGAAAGGAAGAGGAUUCAAGGAUCAAAUACCAUACCUUAAUUGUGAAGAAAAUCCCACAUGAUUGAUGGAGAAAAACUUGAAAAAUCAGUCUUCUUCCUUUGAGCUCCAAAGCUUCAUCAAUGGAUGUUUUUUGAGAAAAGAAUGGAGAGGUUAUCAAUUGAUUUGAGGAUUUUUUCUUGGUGAGUUUAGGGGCUUAAAAAGACACAAUAAACUUUAAUAUGUUAUCCCCAAAUUAUGGAAAAUA